rnacentral:lncRNA from 1 species
ACUUAGUAAUAAUUGUAUAUAUGUGAAUGCAUAGAUUUUCACUUAUGUAAUGUAAAAAUACCACACAAAGAGCAAGUCGAGCUUGAUGUCUUAUCAUCUUUUCACCAUAAAUGCAUACCUUCAUAUAUCAUGCAUGCAUACUCAUCAAACAUUUACUAUCAUUUUUCUUAUUUUUUUGAGUAGGAUGGGAAAUUUAAAACAAUGAAACAAUAUCUCUAGUCCGCUCCAUU